rnacentral:rRNA from 1 species
UACGGAGGUGGCAAGCGUUGCUCGGAAUCACUGGGCGUAAAGGGCGCGUAGGCGGGGAGGUAAGUCGGGUGUGAAAUCCCUCGGCCCAACCGAGGAACUGCGCCCGAGACUGCUUCUCUUGAGUCCCGGAGAGGAAGAUGGAAUUCCCGGUGUAGCGGUGAAAUGUGUCGAGAUCGGGAGGAACACCGGUGGCGAAGGCGGUCUUCUGGACGGUGACUGACGCUGAGGCGCGAAAGCGUGGGGAGCAAACGGG